rnacentral:rRNA from 1 species
UAGAUAUUAGAAAGAAUACCAAUUGCGAAGGCAGCUUUCUGGAUCAUUACUGACACUGAGGAACGAAAGCAUGGGUAGCGAAGAGGAUUAGAUACCCUCGUAGUCCAUGCCGUAAACGAUGUGUGUUAGACGUUGGAAAUUUAUUUUCAGUGUCGCAGGGAAACCGAUAAACACACCGCCUGGGGAGUACGACCGCAAGGUUAAAACUCAAAUGAAUUGACGGGGACCCGCACAAGUAGUGGAGCAUGUGGUUUAAUUCGAAGAUACGCGCAGAACCUUACCAACACUUGACAUGUUCGUCGCGACUCUAAGAGAUUAGAGUUUUCGGUUCGGCCGGACGAAACACAGGUGCUGCAUGGCUGUCGUCAGCUCGUGUCGUGAGAUGUUGGGUUAAGUCCCGCAACGAGCGCAACCCUCACUUUUAGUUGCCAUCAUUUAGUUGGGCACUCUGAAAGAACUGCCAGUGAUAAGCUGGAGGAAGGUGGGGAUGACGUCAAGUCCUCAUGGCCCUUACGUGUUGGGCUACACACGUGCUACAAUGGUAUCUACAACAGGAAGCAAGACUGCGAAGUUAAGCAAAUCCCUAAAAGAUACCUCAGUUCGGAUUGCACUCUGCAACUCGAGUGCAUGAAGCUGGAAUUACUAGUAAUCGUGGAUCAGCGUGCCACGGUGAAUGCGUUCCCGGGUCUUGUACACACCGCCCGUCACACCAUGGGAGUUGGUUCUACCUUAAGGCAAGGUUUCAAACCCUUGACCACGGUAUAGUCAGCGACUGGGGUGAAGUCGUAACAAGGUAGCCGUAGGGGAACCUGCGGCUG